UCCCAGGUGGCUCAGUGGUAAAGAAUCUGCCUGCCAAGCUGUAGAUGCAGGUUCAGUCCCUGGCUUGGAAA
rnacentral:tRNA from 1 species